rnacentral:rRNA from 1 species
UACGGAGGGGGCUAGCGUUGUUCGGAAUUACUGGGCGUAAAGCGCACGUAGGCGGACUGUUAAGUCGGGGGUGAAAUCCCGGGGCUCAACCCCGGAAUGGCCUUCGAUACUGGCGGUCUUGAGGUCUGGAGAGGUGAGUGGAAUUACGAGUGUAGAGGUGAAAAUCGUAGAUAUUCGGAGUAACACCAGUGGCGAAGGCGGCUCUCUGGCCAGAUAAUGACGCUGAGGCGCGAAAGCGUGGGGAGCAAACAGU